UACAGAAGGUGCAAGCGUUAAUCGGAAUUAUUGGGCGUAAAGCGUAUGUAGGUGGUAUGACAAGUUGGUUGUGAAAACCCCGGGCUCAACCUGGGAAUUGCGAUCAAAACUGUUGAACUAGAGUGUGGAAGAGGGAAGUGGAAUUUCCGGUGUAGCGGUGAAAUGCGUAGAUAUCGGAAGGAACAUCAGUGGCGAAGGCGACUUCCUGGUCCAACACUGACACUGAGGUACGAAAGCGUGGGGAGCAAACAGG
rnacentral:rRNA from 1 species